GGGUUGUGAGGUUAAGCGACUAAGCGUACACGGUGGAUGCCCUGGCAGUCAGAGGCGAUGAAGGACGUGCUAAUCUGCGAUAAGCGUCGGUAAGGUGAUAUGAACCGUUAUAACCGGCGAUUUCCGAAUGGGGAAACCCAGUGUGUUUCGACACACUAUCAUUAACUGAAUCCAUAGGUUAAUGAGGCGAACCGGGGGAACUGAAACAUCUAAGUACCCCGAGGAAAAGAAAUCAACCGAGAUUCCCCCAGUAGCGGCGAGCGAACGGGGAGCAGCCCAGAGCCUGAAUCAGUGUGUGUGUUAGUGGAAGCGUCUGGAAAGGCGCGCGAUACAGGGUGACAGCCCCGUACACAAAAAUGCACAUGCUGUGAGCUCGAUGAGUAGGGCGGGACACGUGGUAUCCUGUCUGAAUAUGGGGGGACCAUCCUCCAAGGCUAAAUACUCCUGACUGACCGAUAGUGAACCAGUACCGUGAGGGAAAGGCGAAAAGAACCCCGGCGAGGGGAGUGAAAAAGAACCUGAAACCGUGUACGUACAAGCAGUGGGAGCACGCUUAGGCGUGUGACUGCGUACCUUUUGUAUAAUGGGUCAGCGACUUAUAUUCUGUAGCAAGGUUAACCGAAUAGGGGAGCCGAAGGGAAACCGAGUCUUAACUGGGCGUUAAGUUGCAGGGUAUAGACCCGAAACCCGGUGAUCUAGCCAUGGGCAGGUUGAAGGUUGGGUAACACUAACUGGAGGACCGAACCGACUAAUGUUGAAAAAUUAGCGGAUGACUUGUGGCUGGGGGUGAAAGGCCAAUCAAACCGGGAGAUAGCUGGUUCUCCCCGAAAGCUAUUUAGGUAGCGCCUCGUGAAUUCAUCUCCGGGGGUAGAGCACUGUUUCGGCAAGGGGGUCAUCCCGACUUACCAACCCGAUGCAAACUGCGAAUACCGGAGAAUGUUAUCACGGGAGACACACGGCGGGUGCUAACGUCCGUCGUGAAGAGGGAAACAACCCAGACCGCCAGCUAAGGUCCCAAAGUCAUGGUUAAGUGGGAAACGAUGUGGGAAGGCCCAGACAGCCAGGAUGUUGGCUUAGAAGCAGCCAUCAUUUAAAGAAAGCGUAAUAGCUCACUGGUCGAGUCGGCCUGCGCGGAAGAUGUAACGGGGCUAAACCAUGCACCGAAGCUGCGGCAGCGACGCUUAUGCGUUGUUGGGUAGGGGAGCGUUCUGUAAGCCUGCGAAGGUGUGCUGUGAGGCAUGCUGGAGGUAUCAGAAGUGCGAAUGCUGACAUAAGUAACGAUAAAGCGGGUGAAAAGCCCGCUCGCCGGAAGACCAAGGGUUCCUGUCCAACGUUAAUCGGGGCAGGGUGAGUCGACCCCUAAGGCGAGGCCGAAAGGCGUAGUCGAUGGGAAACAGGUUAAUAUUCCUGUACUUGGUGUUACUGCGAAGGGGGGACGGAGAAGGCUAUGUUGGCCGGGCGACGGUUGUCCCGGUUUAAGCGUGUAGGCUGGUUUUCCAGGCAAAUCCGGAAAAUCAAGGCUGAGGCGUGAUGACGAGGCACUACGGUGCUGAAGCAACAAAUGCCCUGCUUCCAGGAAAAGCCUCUAAGCAUCAGGUAACAUCAAAUCGUACCCCAAACCGACACAGGUGGUCAGGUAGAGAAUACCAAGGCGCUUGAGAGAACUCGGGUGAAGGAACUAGGCAAAAUGGUGCCGUAACUUCGGGAGAAGGCACGCUGAUAUGUAGGUGAAGUCCCUUGCGGAUGGAGCUGAAAUCAGUCGAAGAUACCAGCUGGCUGCAACUGUUUAUUAAAAACACAGCACUGUGCAAACACGAAAGUGGACGUAUACGGUGUGACGCCUGCCCGGUGCCGGAAGGUUAAUUGAUGGGGUUAGCGCAAGCGAAGCUCUUGAUCGAAGCCCCGGUAAACGGCGGCCGUAACUAUAACGGUCCUAAGGUAGCGAAAUUCCUUGUCGGGUAAGUUCCGACCUGCACGAAUGGCGUAAUGAUGGCCAGGCUGUCUCCACCCGAGACUCAGUGAAAUUGAACUCGCUGUGAAGAUGCAGUGUACCCGCGGCAAGACGGAAAGACCCCGUGAACCUUUACUAUAGCUUGACACUGAACAUUGAGCCUUGAUGUGUAGGAUAGGUGGGAGGCUUUGAAGUGUGGACGCCAGUCUGCAUGGAGCCGACCUUGAAAUACCACCCUUUAAUGUUUGAUGUUCUAACGUUGACCCGUGAUCCGGGUUGCGGACAGUGUCUGGUGGGUAGUUUGACUGGGGCGGUCUCCUCCUAAAGAGUAACGGAGGAGCACGAAGGUUGGCUAAUCCUGGUCGGACAUCAGGAGGUUAGUGCAAUGGCAUAAGCCAGCUUGACUGCGAGCGUGACGGCGCGAGCAGGUGCGAAAGCAGGUCAUAGUGAUCCGGUGGUUCUGAAUGGAAGGGCCAUCGCUCAACGGAUAAAAGGUACUCCGGGGAUAACAGGCUGAUACCGCCCAAGAGUUCAUAUCGACGGCGGUGUUUGGCACCUCGAUGUCGGCUCAUCACAUCCUGGGGCUGAAGUAGGUCCCAAGGGUAUGGCUGUUCGCCAUUUAAAGUGGUACGCGAGCUGGGUUUAGAACGUCGUGAGACAGUUCGGUCCCUAUCUGCCGUGGGCGCUGGAGAACUGAGGGGGGCUGCUCCUAGUACGAGAGGACCGGAGUGGACGCAUCACUGGUGUUCGGGUUGUCAUGCCAAUGGCACUGCCCGGUAGCUAAAUGCGGAAGAGAUAAGUGCUGAAAGCAUCUAAGCACGAAACUUGCCCCGAGAUGAGUUCUCCCUGACUCCUUGAGAGUCCUGAAGGAACGUUGAAGACGACGACGUUGAUAGGCCGGGUGUGUAAGCGCAGCGAUGCGUUGAGCUAACCGGUACUAAUGAACCGUGAGGCUUAACCUUACAACGCCGAAGCUGUU
rnacentral:rRNA from 1 species